AUGAACGCUAGCGAUAGGCUUAACACAUGCAAGUCGAGGGGCAGCACAAGGUAGCUUGCUCUCUGGGUGGCGACCGGCGCCCGGGUGCGUAACGCGUAUGCAACUUGCCCUAUACAGGAGGAUAACCCGUCGAAAGACGGACUAAUACUGCGUAUGCUCACAACUUGGCAUCAAGUGGUGAGGAAAGAAAUUCGGUAUAGGAUAGGCAUGCGUCCCAUUAGCUUGUUGGUGAGGUAACGGCUCACCAAGGCAACGAUGGGUAGGGGAACUGAGAGGUUUAUCCCCCACACUGGUACUGAGACACGGACCAGACUCCUACGGGAGGCAGCAGUGAGGAAUAUUGGUCAAUGGGCGCGAGCCUGAACCGGCCAAGUCGCGUGAAGGAUGACUGUCUUAUGGAUUGUAAACUUCUUUUAUACGGGAAUAACAAGAGUCACGUGUGACUCCCUGCAUGUACCGUAUGAAUAAGCAUCGGCUAACUCCGUG
rnacentral:rRNA from 1 species